CCUUCGAUAGCUCAGUUGGUAGAGCGGAGGACUGUAGUGGAGGAAAUGCGGUAAUCCUUAGGUCGCUGGUUCGAUUCCGGCUCGAAGGA
rnacentral:tRNA from 1 species